AUGGAGAAUCUAGCAGGGCUCAGUUCUUCACUCGCUCAUUCUGCAGCACCAGCUACUGCAGCAACCUCUCCCCACUUUCAGUUGCCACCGGCAGCGGCUUUCCUCCUUCCAUCAUUGCUCCGAAACAUAUGCAUCACCGCUGCAGCACCCUGGGGGCCGGACGGUGGGAUACGGCCAAUCUCCGGGGAGAUGCUGUGGCUCCUACCGAGCGGGAGAAAGCACUUCCCCUUCCUGCCACCAUGUGAAGAAGAACAUGUUUGCUUCCCCUUCUGCUCUGACUGUAAGUUUCCUGAGGCCUCCCCAGCCAUGCUGAAUUGUGAGUCAAUUAAACCUCUUUCCUGUAUAAAUUACCCAUCUCAGUUAUGUCUUUAUUAGCAGUGUGAGAACGGACUAAUACCCUGGUUUCAUGUAGGAUGUGUGUUCAUUUGGGGUGCAGGGGGAUGGUUAAUAGAGAUUAUGAGGGAGGAGGUGAAGACAAGCUAAUUGCUAUCUCUUCCCCUCACUCCAUGCCACCUCUUGAAGAUGCUGCCACUAUCACUUGGUCUAUAUUAGAUCCUAUGGAAGGUCCAGUGUAUAUAAGCAUCACUGGUUUUUGUCACCAAGGAACUCAGAGCCUAGUAGAGAAAUAUACAGUGUGGUAAGAAUAAUAUAUACAGUAGUCCUCCCUUAUCUGAGGUUUUACUUUCCACAGUUUCAGUUACCUAAGGUCAACCAUGGUCUGAAAAUCAGUGAGUAUAAUACAAUAUGAUAUUUUUAGAGACAGAUAGAGAGAGACCACAGUCAAAUCAUUUUUAUUAUCAUAUAUUUUUAAAAUUAUUCUAUUAUUGUUGUUAAUCUCUUACUGUGCUUGAUUUAUAAAUUAAACUUUAUUAUAGGUAUGUAUGUACAGGAAAAAACAUAGUAUAUAUGGAGUUUGGUACUAUCUGAAGUUUCAGGCAUCCAUGGGGGGUCUUGGAAUGUAUCCCCCGUGGAUAAGAGGGUACUACUCUGUGUGUGUGUGUGUGUGUGUGUGUGUGUGUGUGUUUAUGCAUCAACCCUGCCUUAAUUUGGAGGGGGGAAUGGAUGGAUAAGAGGGUACUAUUCUGUGUGUGUGUGUGUGUGUGUGUGUGUAUGCAUCAACCCUGCCUUAAUUUGGAGGGCGGAAUGGUCAGGCUGGAUGGGUAAGAGAGGUCCAGGAAAUUUACCUAAAGGGAUGAUGUUAGUGCAUGGCCUUAAAGAAUGAGUAGGUCAGCCAGAUGAAGGAAGAGAAAUAUAGGGCAGGGAUUCUGACUAUAUCUGACAGCCAAUUAUUUUGGACUAACUUUUGGUUGGUGCAAUAACAGAGAAAUGCAUUAACUGCACUGUGUUGGUUACUCAGGGAGAGAAGGCAUCUUUCAUCUCACUCCGACCUCUAUUUUCAUAAAUAAAGCUGCCCUCAGGUAAGCCCAGAGUGACUACUAUUUACUAAAUGUUACCUUUGACAGGUCCAUUGUUAAUACUUAUAAAGGAGCACAGGCUCCUGCUUAUAAUAUAAAAGAAAAUAACUCUGGACUCUUGCAACAUCCUGUUUAUAAAUCAAACUUAAUUAAAUUAAUUAACUUACUUCUUGUUCCCAUAAAACAUGUUUACUUAUUUUUGUAGCACCAGCAUACAGUGGAGUGCCUGGGCCAUGCUAGCACUCAACAAAUGGUUUUCAAAUGAAUUAAAUAAAAAACUAAGUAGAGCUGACAUCAGUGACCCUGGCACCAGACCGUUUGCAGGAAUCAUUAAAUAUCUUUAAGAUUCUUCAGUCAUUAAGCUCUCUCCCAUGAUAGCCAAUAUGCUGAGCUCCAGUAAGAGCAAACAACUUCAGUCCCCACCAUUUCCUCUUUAAGCCUCAAAGAUAUUGUAGCCCUGGGAUGACACUUCUUUUUAAUGGAAAAUCCCAAUGUUAAAAAGAAUCCCUUGGGCCAGGCACAGUGGCUCAUGCCUAUAAUGCUAACACUUUGGGAGGCCAAGGCAGGAGGAUCACUUGAGCCCAGGAGUUUGAGACCAGCCUGGCAACAUAGCAAGGCCCCAUCUCUACAAAAUGAAAAAAAAAUUAGAUGGUGUGGUGAUGCAUGCAUGUGGUCCAAUGCAUGUGUUCAGGAGGCUGAGGUGGAAGGAUUACUUGACCCUGGGAAGUUGAGGCUGCAGUGAGCCAUGGUUGCGCCACUGCACUUUAGCCUGGGCACCAGAACAAGACUGUCUCAAGAUAAAUAAAUAAAUAAAUAAUAAAUAAAUAAAUAAAUAAGCAAAUAAAUAAAAAGAAUCCCUUGAACCUCUAUUUGAUUUUUUUGUGUGAUAGACCUACUUUUCCUCCCAACAAUAUUGUUUAGGCUGUCACACAAAGAAUGAAAUAAAGUAACUAGGUAGAACUAACUACCAAUACGUACCUGGGGUGGAAAACACUGCUCUAUUGAUUUGGGACAUUUUCUACCUCACUUUCAUUCCCUAAUUGUGCAACCUUCAGCAAGUUCCCUCAACGCACUAAGCCUCAGUUUCUUCAUCUGUAAAAUAAUAAUAAUAAAAUGCUUUUUCACCUACCUCCUAAAGGAAUUGUCAGUACCCAAUUAUAUUUGAAAGGGCUUUGCAAAAUAAUAAAUAACUCUACAUUUUUUUUGUUUCACUAAAGCAAUAGACAUAUGCCACUGUAAUACUUUUUAGAAAGUCUAUCUUCCCAUAGAUUAAAGUGUUUUUGUGUGAUAUAUUUAGUUGUUGAAUGGAAUUUAAUUUUUUUCUAUAGAACCCCAGAAUACACAAAAGAUAACAAACAAUAAAGUAUCUGUUUAGUGACAAAUGUCUCUAAGGAGAAAGGGAUAAAAAUACAUCACCUCAUGAGAAAUGUUUUACAUUCCUUUUUGGCCUGAGUGACUUGAUCAUAUGCUUAAAACUCCG
rnacentral:lncRNA from 1 species